GAAGAAAGUGAGGACGAGGAUGAAAACUUUGAUCAAGGUUUUGGACCAGCUGCGCUUGGUAGAGGAAGGGGCAGGGGAAUUGCAUGGCCUCCAAUUAUGCCUUUUGGACAUGGGCCCAGGCCUCCACCUGGGAUGCGAGGCUUCCCUCCAGGCAUGAUGGGCGAUGGGUUUUCUUAUGGAGCUAUGACACCCGAGGGUUUCCCAAUGACCGAUCAUUUUGGAAUGGGUCCCCGACCUUUUCCUCCUUAUGGCCCACGAUUUUCAAGUGAUUUGAUGUUUCAUGGCCGCCCUCCAGCUGGUGGAUUUGGGAUGAUGAUAGGUCCCGGAAGGCCCCCUUUCGUGGGCGGAAUGGGUCCGGGAGCGACAGGCCCACCCAGAGCUGGUCGAGCAGUUAGAAUGCAUCCAUCAUUCAUUCCACCCUCAUCUCAGCCUUCUCAAUAUCCUUAUAGGGCUAAAAGAGAACAGCGGGCCCCAGUUAGUGACAGGAAUGAUAGAUUUAGCUCAGAUCAAGGUAAGGGUCAGGAAAUGAUGGGUUCAGUUAAUGGACCAGAUGGAGUGCAUAUGCAAAUAGGGAAAUCUGAACACGAUAACCAGUUUGGUGCUGGAAACAGCCUAAAAAAUGACGGAAGCGAAAGCGAGGAUGAAGCACCAAGAAGAUCAAGACACGGGGAUGGAAAGAAGAAGAGGCGGGAUGUUGAUGAAGAUGCUGCAACUGGCUCAGAAAAUAGGUGUCAGUAAGUGAGAUAUAGAGGUCAUCUUGUCUCUGCAACUGUUUGUGACAUUCUUCUACGGGGAAAAUGCAACUAGCUUUUACGUAGAACCCCAUCCACCAACCUGUUUUUGCAGAUUUAGAAUGAGGGAUUCAACUUAUAUUCGUACUCUUAUGUCAGGAUCCAGUCAGAGUAUUCGGCCUUCUGAGAACUUAAGAAGAGUUCUCUAAUAUAUGUGCUGGUGUAU
rnacentral:misc_RNA from 1 species